rnacentral:rRNA from 1 species
GAGCGAACGGGGAGCAGCCCAGAGUCUGAAUCAGCUUGUGUGUUAGUGGAACGGUCUGGAAAGUCCGACGGUACAGGGUGAUAGUCCCGUACACCAAAAUGCACAGGUUGUGAACUCGAAGAGUAGGGCGGGACACGUGGUAUCCUGUCUGAAUAUGGGGGGACCAUCCUCCAAGGCUAAAUACUCCUGACUGACCGAUAGUGAACCAGUACCGUGAGGGAAAGGCGAAAAGAACCCCGGCGAGGGGAGUGAAAAAGAACCUGAAACCGUGUACGUACAAGCAGUGGGAGCACCUUCGGGUGUGACUGCGUACCUUUUGUAUAAUGGGUCAGCGACUUAUAUUCUGUAGCAAGGUUAACCGUAUAGGGGAGCCGCAGGGAAACCGAGUCUUAACUGGGCGUUAAGUUGCAGGGUAUAGACCCGAAACCCGGUGAUCUAGCCAUGGGCAGGUUGAAGGUUGGGUAACACUAACUGGAGGACCGAACCGACUAAUGUUGAAAAAUUAGCGGAUGACUUGUGGCUGGGGGUGAAAGGCCAAUCAAACCGGGAGAUAGCUGGUUCUCCCCGAAAGCUAUUUAGGUAGCGCCUCGUGAACUCAUCUUCGGGGGUAGAGCACUGUUUCGGCUAGGGGGUCAUCCCGACUUACCAACCCGAUGCAAACUACGAAUACCGAAGAAUGUUAUCACGGGAGACACACGGCGGGUGCUAACGUCCGUCGUGAAGAGGGAAACAACCCAGACCGCCAGCUAAGGUCCCAAAGUCAUGGUUAAGUGGGAAACGAUGUGGGAAGGCACAGACAGCCAGGAUGUUGGCUUAGAAGCAGCCAUCAUUUAAAGAAAGCGUAAUAGCUCACUGGUCGAGUCGGCCUGCGCGGAAGAUGUAACGGGGCUAAACCAUGCACCGAAGCUGCGGCAGCGACACUAUGUGUUGUUGGGUAGGGGAGCGUUCUGUAAGCCUGCGAAGGUGUGCUGUGAGGCAUGCUGGAGGUAUCAGAAGUGCGAAUGCUGACAUAAGUAACGAUAAAGCGGGUGAAAAGCCCGCUCGCCGGAAGACCAAGGGUUCCUGUCCAACGUUAAUCGGGGCAGGGUGAGUCGACCCCUAAGGCGAGGCCGAAAGGCGUAGUCGAUGGGAAACAGGUUAAUAUUCCUGUACUUGGUGUUACUGCGAAGGGGGGACGGAGAAGGCUAUGUUAGCCGGGCGACGGUUGUCCCGGUUUAAGCAUGUAGGCUGGUUAUCCAGGCAAAUCCGGAUAAUCAAGGCUGAGGUGUGAUGACGAGGCACUACGGUGCUGAAGUAACAAAUGCCCUGCUUCCAGGAAAAGCCUCUAAGCAUCAGGUAACAUCAAAUCGUACCCCAAACCGACACAGGUGGUCAGGUAGAGAAUACCAAGGCGCUUGAGAGAACUCGGGUGAAGGAACUAGGCAAAAUGGUGCCGUAACUUCGGGAGAAGGCACGCUGGUGUGUAGGUGAAGCCCCUGCGGGUGGAGCUGAGACCAGUCGAAGAUACCAGCUGGCUGCAACUGUUUAUUAAAAACACAGCACUGUGCAAACACGAAAGUGGACGUAUACGGUGUGACGCCUGCCCGGUGCCGGAAGGUUAAUUGAUGGGGUUAUCCGUAAGGAGAAGCUCUUGAUCGAAGCCCCGGUAAACGGCGGCCGUAACUAUAACGGUCCUAAGGUAGCGAAAUUCCUUGUCGGGUAAGUUCCGACCUGCACGAAUGGCGUAAUGAUGGCCAGGCUGUCUCCACCCGAGACUCAGUGAAAUUGAACUCGCUGUGAAGAUGCAGUGUACCCGCGGCAAGACGGAAAGACCCCGUGAACCUUUACUAUAGCUUGACACUGAACAUUGAGCCUUGAUGUGUAGGAUAGGUGGGAGGCUUUGAAGCGUGGACGCCAGUCUGCGUGGAGCCAACCUUGAAAUACCACCCUUUAAUGUUUGAUGUUCUAACGUUGGCCCCUUACCGGGGUUGCGGACAGUGUCUGGUGGGUAGUUUGACUGGGGCGGUCUCCUCCUAAAGCGUAACGGAGGAGCACGAAGGUUAGCUAAUCCUGGUCGGACAUCAGGAGGUUAGUGCAAUGGCAUAAGCUAGCUUGACUGCGAGCGUGACGGCGCGAGCAGGUGCGAAAGCAGGUCAUAGUGAUCCGGUGGUUCUGAAUGGAAGGGCCAUCGCUCAACGGAUAAAAGGUACUCCGGGGAUAACAGGCUGAUACCGCCCAAGAGUUCAUAUCGACGGCGGUGUUUGGCACCUCGAUGUCGGCUCAUCACAUCCUGGGGCUGAAGUAGGUCCCAAGGGUAUGGCUGUUCGCCAUUUAAAGUGGUACGCGAGCUGGGUUUAGAACGUCGUGAGACAGUUCGGUCCCUAUCUGCCGUGGGCGCUGGAGAAUUGAGGGGGGCUGCUCCUAGUACGAGAGGACCGGAGUGGACGCAUCACUGGUGUUCGGGUUGUCAUGCCAAUGGCACUGCCCGGUAGCUAAAUGCGGAAGAGAUAAGUGCUGAAAGCAUCUAAGCACGAAACUUGCCCCGAGAUGAGUUCUCCCUGAGACUUUAAGUCUCCUGAAGGAACGUUGAAGACGACGACGUUGAUAGGCCGGGUGUGUAAGCGCAGCGAUGCGUUGAGCUAACCGGUACUAAUGAACCGUGAGGCUUAACCUU